UACGUAGGGGGCAAGCGUUGUCCGGAAUCAUUGGGCGUAAAGCGCGUGUAGGCGGCUGGGUAAGUCCGCUCUGAAAACUCGAGGCUCAACCUCGAGACGUCGGUUGAAACCAUCUGGCUAGAGUCCGGAAGAGGAGUGUGGAAUUCCCGGUGUAGAGGUGAAAUUCGUAGAUAUCGGGAGGAACACCAGUGGCGAAGGCGGCGACCUGGGCCAAUAUUGACGCUGAGGUGCGAAAGCGUGGGGAGCAAACAGG
rnacentral:rRNA from 1 species